rnacentral:rRNA from 1 species
UACGGGGGGGGCAAGCGUUGUUCGGAAUUACUGGGCGUAAAGGGCUCGUAGGCGGCCAACUAAGUCAGACGUGAAAUCCCUCGGCUUAACCGGGGAACUGCCUCUGAUACUGGAUGGCUUGAGAUUGGGAGAGGGAUGCGGAAUUCCAGGUGUAGCGGUGAAAUGCGUAGAUAUCUGGAGGAACACCGGUGGCGAAGGCGGCAUCCUGGACCAACACUGACGCUGAGGAGCGAAAGCCAGGGGAGCAAAGCAGGG